GAAUAGAUGCUUGAGCGCGUAACAAGUUAAAUUGGAGUCAAAUAAAACAACAAAGUGCUUCGAUUAAGUUAAGAUAUGUGUGUGAAAAUAACGGAUUUAUAACUUCAUAUGUAUCGCACAACAAAGUGCUUUUAUUAAUUUAUUAAUAUUCGUUUGAGGAUUGGGUUUGGGAUUGAAAGACAACUCUCCACUGCCCCUGCAUUGAUUUGUGAUAAGUCGAGGAAGGUUGAUGUUGAUGUUCAAAUCCUGGCUUGGAAUCAGAAGUGUAACUUUCCUCAUAUAAGAGUGGUUUUUUUUUUUGGUGAGGUGUUAACUUGAAAGCUCUAUGUUGGCUUCAUUAAGAGCAGAAAAAUGAGUGAUACAGAAGGUCAAUCACAUUCCUCGGGAAUAACGAAGAAACUAGAUAGCCAUAAAACUUAUCAUGGUAGAGAUCCCAAUAAUGGAAAUGACCUUUGGAAAGAUGGACUUAUUUGUGCUUUUGAAUACAUUUGAGGACAAAACAGAUCGGCUAAAUUGAGUUCCUCCUCAUCAAAGAUCACAGACAGAAUGCAUGGCCAACAUUCAAAGAUGCAUCAUGUCCCUUCGGAUGAUAAAAAGAAGCUCUCAGAUCCUUCAUCUGUAAAUGUCUCGAGGGAGAGUUUGUUUGGUGGCUCUGAUGACGACAAGGAGAGCCAGACCCCUAAGGCUGGCCAAUCUAAAAAGUAUGAGGGUGGUCAUUGGGUACCAAUUGGAUGGGCAAGAAUUUCAGAACUUGUCCAAGCAGUUCAGGUUGAUGCUGAGUGGUCUUCUCAUCAAUUUGAAUUUGAGUAUUCUAAAGAUGAUUUUACUGUAGCAGAUUUGGCAGCUCCCUAUUGGGAGCAUCCCACUGGGCCUAUAUGGUGGUGCCAUGCUUCUGCAGGUCACCCCACUUGGCUCAGCAAUGCUCAAUGGCUACAUCCUGCUGUUAGUUUAGCUCUGAGAGACGAAAGUAGACUUUGAGCGGAUGAAACAUCUUUUCUAUGAGGUUAUUCCGUAAAUCUAUAUUUGGGGCAGCAGAUGAGAUUGAAUUGAAGUUUAUGAACAGGAGAAACCAUGAAGAUUUGAAUCUUUUCAUCCUAAUCUUAAAUCUAGAAAUUAGAAAGUUAUCAACACAGGUUAUCAGGGUUAAGUGGUCACUCCAUGCAAGAAAUGAGAUUGUCUUUGAGCUUCUUCAACAUCUAAAAGGAAAUGGAGCAAGAAACCUGUUAGAGGGAAUAAAAAAGAGCACAAGAGAAAUGAUUGAGGAGCAAGAAGCUGUUCACGGCCGUCUGUUUACCAUUCAGAACUUUCAGUCUUGCAUCCGCUGAAUAUCUAUGCAGGACAGAAGCCUUCGAGUAACCCAUAAUUUAGCUGUAUUUGGUGGCGUUGGCGUUGUCCUCACCAUCAUUACCGGAUUAUUUGGGAUCAACGUUGAUGGGAUACCUGGGGCAGAACAUACUCCGUAUGCAUUCGGUGUUUUCACGGCCAUCCUUGUCUUUCUGGGAGUAGUGCUGAUCGCAGUUGGCAUGGUUUACCUUGGGCUGAAAAACCCUGUUGCUGAGGGACAGGUUGAAGUUAGGAAGCUUGAGCUGCAAGAAUUGGUGAAGAUGUUUCAGCAUGAAGCAGAGACUCAUGCUCAAGUCCGGAAAAAUAUUUCUCCCAAAAACUUACCUCCUACUGCUGGUGAUGGUUUCCGCAGUGAUGCAGAUUAUCUUGUCAUACAAUAGAGAUAUUAAUAAUAUAAUUGUCCAAGGAUGCUUUAACAAUAAUUACUUUUGGUGUUAAUGAUUGUUCCAAGUCUGAAGUUAAAGCAUGAAUUGGAAAAGCAUAUCUCGUUGCGUAUUCACAACCGUGGUUGUAUGGAUGGGAGAUCAGUGAUGAUAAGCUCAUAGCUACUUUUAGACAUUCGAAGGCCUCAGUCUCAAACAAAGCCGAAAUUCUUAAAGACUUGCUCUAUACAUACAAGUUCUUUAUUGAAUAAAUUAGAAGUUUUAUAUGAAAUGAAUAUUUGUAUGCCUCAUAUGUCGUUUUUUCAUUUAGCAGAAUUUGCAAACGUCAUUACAACUUAGUGUAUAUAGAAUAAUUUUUCAUAAACACCAAAGUGAAAGAUGUGAUACUAGUGAGACUUUAAACUUUCUAGUUCUACUACGAUUAACUAGGAUUUGUAACUUUUCGCUUCCUA